rnacentral:rRNA from 1 species
CACGUAGGGGACGAGCGUUGUCCGGAUUCAUUGGGCAUAAAGCGCGCGUAGGCGGCUCGGAAAGUCGGUCGUGAAAUGCCGGGGCUCAACCCCGGGACUGCGUCCGAUACUCCCGAGCUGGAGGCAGGUAGGGGAGAUCGGAAUUCCUGGUGUAGCGGUGAAAUGCGCAGAUAUCAGGAGGAACACCGGUGGCGAAGGCGGAUCUCUGGGCCUUGCCUGACGCUGAGGCGCGAAAGCUAGGGGAGCGAACAGG